UUUUUUUUCAGGGGAAUCAGAUCAAACUACCAGGUUUAUCGAGGAUAGACUAAACCCUAACUUUGCUAAAGAGAUCAAGCGCCUCAGGCCCUCAAUGACGACAGCAGCUUCUUCUCAUUCUUGCCCCAAAUUUCAACUUCGAUUCCAAGCACGACGGAAGAAACUCAGUGUCGACGAGAAAGAGGAUGACAUCAACGGCAAAUAACAACACCCUUGAUGCUUCAGGUUCAGGAUCUACCCCGAACUCAUAACGAAUUUCAAGUAGAGGGAAAUCCGAUCUUGCAUGGGGACGCUGUAAGGAAGUAGCCUUAUCUUCAAGUGGCAACAGGAAGCAACUUCAUUGUGUUUAUUGCUCAAAAGUUUUCAGUGGCGGUGGCAUUCAUAGAGUUAAGCUACAUUUGAGUAUUUGACGAAGGUGAAAGGCAAUGAAGAGCUGUGCAAAAUGGUUCCGGAUGAUGUGCGCUUUCAAAUGCAACAACUUAUGAAUGAUCAUGCACAAGGCAAAAAAAGGAUGCGUGAUAUGCUGGAUGAACAAAAUCCACAUGCCCCGCGACUUGGAGACUAUGAAGACGAUGGCGAAGUGCAAGAAGUGAGUCUCUUGCCUCCUCCUCGUUCUAAUUCCAAAGGAAAGGGAAUUCAAGUGGCAUCGAAGCAAAAUCAAAUGGGGUCUUAUUUCCAACCGAGAACAACUCAAGGAGCUCAACCAACAAUUAAAAGUGUCUUACAAAUGAAGCAAGUUGUGGAGAAGUGUGAUAUUGCCAUAUCCAAGUGGAUGAUUGCCGCAUCCAGACCAUUUAAUUCUGUUAAUUCCAUGUUCAGCAAGCAAUUGAUGCCAUUGCUAGCAUGGUUGUAGGCUAUAAAGGUUCAAAUUUGUAUGAUCUUUGUGGUUAUCUACUGACUAAAAAUGUUGAGAUGGUAAAGAAGUAUGUUGAGACCUUUUGUGCCACUUGGAAAAAGACCAGAUGUACCAUAAUGGCUAAUGGAUGGACGGAUCAGUAUAGGUGGACAUUAAUUAAUUUUUUAGUUUAGUGCCCCAAAGGGGCGGUA